rnacentral:rRNA from 1 species
GUAAGGAAUAUUGGUCAAUGGACGGAAGUCUGAACCAGCCAUGCCGCGUGAAGGAAGACGGCCCUAUGGGUUGUAAACUUCUUUUGUACAGGAAAAAACCCUCCGAUGCGUCGGGGGCUGAUGGUACUGUGCGAAUAAGGAUCGGCUAACUCCGUGCCAGCAGCCGCGGUAAUACGGAGGAUCCAAGCGUUAUCCGGAUUUAUUGGGUUUAAAGGGUGCGCAGGCGGACUGGUAAGUCAGUGGUGAAAUCUCUCGGCUCAACCGAGAAAUUGCCAUUGAUACUAUCAGACUUGAGUACAAAUGAAGUGGGCGGAAUGUGUCAUGUAGCGGUGAAAUGCAUAGAGAUGACACAGAACACCGAUAGCGAAGGCAGCUCACUAAGCUGUAACUGACGCUCAAGCACGAAAGCGUGGGGAUCAAACAGGAUUAGAUACCCCGGUAGUCC